GGAACAGGGAAGCAGGGGGAGACACAAGCAGAAGGAACCCUGAGUGUACAGUGGGGUGCAGCCCUCAUCAAGACCCCUGGCACUCAGGCCUACAUGGCUCCAUGCCCUGGGAGCAGAGUGAGGAGAGGGAGAGGGGAGAGUGGAGGCUGGAGGCUGGAGGCUGGAGGCUGGAGGCUGGAAAUCACCAAAAGCCACAACUACUGAAGUCAGGUCUCUGCCAUGUGCUGGGUGACCUUAGUUCCGAGCUGGAGUCCCUGCAUCAAGCCGUUCCUGAAGCCAGCGUCCUUGAAUAUGUUUCCUUCAGCUAUGAGAGCCAGCUCCCCUGCUUUUCACUAAGGUCAGUUUGAUUUGGGUUUCUCCACCUUUCGAGCUGAGGACCUACAGCGCUUCCUUAGUAGCUGGGAUGAGGAGCCGAGGGGCUUCAGAAAAGACCAAACCUCUGGGUCUCGGGCCUUUUUCAGUGCCAUUAGCAGAAAGCAACACGCACGCGCCAUCUCUCCCACCUGGUCCCGGGAGCGGUGCCCACCUACUGCGAGAUUCCCCCCCCCGGCCACUGGCUCAAGACCGAUCGGCACGGUCCAUCUGAGCAGCACCCACCGUGCGCUGGCCCAGCGCUGGACAAAGGAGGCAUCGAUGUCACCCGGGGCUCACGGAGACCCAGCAGAAAGCCCUGGCCACGCCCGGAACACCCGGCCCUGCUCUCCACCCAGGCAACUCCUGUUGGCCAGCACUCCCCAGACCAGCGCCACCUCCUCUAAGACGCCUCCUCUGCCUCCCCUCCCCCAGGCGGUUCUGGGGGCUUCUGUCUUUCCUUGCGUUCAAGACGCACCAGGAUCCGAAGCAUCAACCACAAGGAACGAACAACACCCCGAUUACACCACCGUAACACGAGACUUUGUUCAGGUGGGGAAACUGAGGCCCAGAGAGGCAAAGCACAGAAACAGGGACAGCACCAGCACCAGCACCAGGGUUCAGGCUCUGGACAUGUGGGACAAGAAUUCACCUUCCAGGGCUUCCCAGGGUGAUGGCCCGGACUCCUCAGCCCACACCAGAGCCCUGGUGGCCACGGGGAUAAGCAGCUGCCCCGCGGGGCUGAAACGUAGCCAGCGAUGCUCCUGCGAGGGGAGGCCCCGCGUCACGCGUGGGCGGCAGAGCCGGAACUCGGGGCACAGCUAUUUCUGGAGGCCGAGGCGAGAAAGUGGGGGCGGCGGAAGAGCCUCACAGGAACGGGGAGGCUGGGGGCCCCGGCGGGGGGCUCAGGGCCUGGUGUCCUCUGUGGGAAUGGAGAGCCGGGUGCAGAACCCCGAGCCCCUGUGGGCGCCAGAGGAGGAGCCAGGCAGGGAUGCUGUCCCCAACAGGCGACAAGACGCCCGGACAGACUGGCCGGGCCCUGGGGCAAAGCCAAGCUAGGACCUGGAAAUGUGGAGCCGGGUGGACGGCUGGGCUGCAGAUUUAAAUACGCACUCGGAAGCAGGAAGAUCAGCACGAGGCCAAGGCCAACCUGAGUUACACAGUGAGACCCUGCCUGUCUCAAAAAAAAGAAAAGAAAAAGACCUGGAGAAGGGCAAGGAGGGAGUUGUGUCCACAUCGGCAUUGCAGAUCAAUCAAACAACCUGUGCAAAGGCCCUGGGGCGGCAUAGAGCCUGGCAUGGUGCAUGGGCAAUAAGGAUCCCAUGUGGCUGGAGCAGAGAGCACAAGAGGGAGGGAGGGAAGAGAGGUGGGGAGGGGAUGGGUGGGCUGUGCAGGCCCCCAUGGGCUGCCGGGAGGACUUGGGCUUUGGCCCCAGGGAGGUGGGAGCCCUAGAAGGCUCUGUGUGGCAGGGACGCACUGCUUGCUCUCGAGUCCCUGCUGCAGGAGGUGGAUGGUCCAGGAGCCAGACCUGAUGGUGAGGCAGAGCCAAAGGCAGUGACCAGCAGGGAGAGGGAGGAGGCUCCUGAGAGCAAACAGCCACAUCUCCGAGAGCACUGUGUCCUGGGGUUCAUGUGUGACCACCCUGAAGACCAAGUUGGCCUGCAAGUGCCAGAAAAGGCACAGAAGAGGAGCCCCCAGGUAACCCCGCAGGGCUAUUUUGCCCCUAUCAGCAGGGCCCAGGCUCUUUAUAUCUCCUUCAUUCUCCAGUGUUAGCCAUAACGCCUGCCUCAGGGUCCAAUACAGCUGCCUGAGCAACUGCCAUCACUUCCACAUUCCCGGUGGGAGGUGAAAGAACCAUGCACCACCUCUCUUUAAAGACAUUUCCAGGAAAUCCUGUUCAUUUAUUCCAGAAUGAUUCAGAUGGUGCCGACAGCUGCAAAGGAUACCAGGAAAUGUCUUCCUUCCUCUCCCUGGUGACCAUGUGUCCAGAUAAAAAUUGUAGAGUCCAAUUGUUAUAGAGCAUGGGACAUGAAGGGCUGUUGGGAGACCCCACCAGAAACGGGUGACCUCGGGGCCACAUCUUAGAUUUCAAGCCAGCACAUCUGAGAAACUCUGCCCCAACUGUGACGGCUUUCACGGAUCCCCAGGGUGCAGGCCUGGCUCAGCUAAGCCCAAGGUUCAGGUCAGUGCCCACAGGCUGGGCCCCCUGCAGCCCCCUAUCCUGCCUCACCCCUGCCUGUCGAGGACCCAGGGCAAUUCAUCUCCUUCUCCUCCAUAAACAACUGUCAGGGAAAAUAAAUAGUUUUUAAUAGGCUCAUUAAUUGAAUUCAGGAAGAAAUCUCCUCUCCCCAGCUGAGCGGGAGGAACUGGGCAGAGAUGGAGAAUCUUAAUGGCCAGAGGCAGCGGGCACCCCAGGCCCCUCUGCCCACCGUGCUGUGCCCCAGCCCCGCCAGUUCUGUCCCGGCUGCGAAGGGCCACAGCCUUACACUGGGCAGCAGGGAUGGAAAAGGAUUUAAUAUCAUUCUUUUUUCUUGCAAUACUGGGGGUGGAACUGAGGGCCUCUGCAUUGAGCUCCAUCUUGACCCUUCUUAUUUUUUAUUUUAGACAAGUAUCCUUAAAUUGUCCAGCCUGGACUAGAACUUGAGAUCCUCCCGUCUCAGCCUCCCAAGUGCUCAGAUGACAGGCCUGCACCACUGCACCCAGCUGAAAUCUGUGUUCUUUUUCUUUUUUUUUUUGGUACUGGGGAUCAAACUCAGGAUCUUGCACUUAUCUGUGUUGAGGGUCAAAUUCAACCUUGAGAAAGACCAGCUGGUUCUGGCUGAGUCUUCCACUUGUCUCACUCUGCACUGAGCUCUUUCUGGGGUCCCAGCCCCUCUGGGCUCCCCCAGAGGCCAGAAAUGGCACGGGCCGACUCUGGGCCCCUCACCUCCAGCACCUGUCCACAGGCCCGCCCCCCCCGGCUUGUGUGCUCCCCAUUCCGUCCAUCGUGGCUCUGCACACAG
rnacentral:lncRNA from 1 species